rnacentral:rRNA from 1 species
GCACAAGCAGCGGAGUCGUGUGGUUUAAUUCGUGCUACACGAGAACCUUACCUGGGUUUGACAUAUAGGUUGUAGGGAACUGAAAAGGGACGACCCUUCGGGGAGCCUAUACAGGUGUUGCAUGGCUGUCGUCAGCUCGUGUCGUGAGAUGUUCGGUUAAGUCCGCUAACGAGCGCAACCCUCGUCGUAUGCUAUAUGUGUCAUACGAGACUGCCGGUAAAAGCCGGAGGAAGGUGGGAUGAUGUCAAGUCAGCAUGACCUUUAUAUCCAGGGCUACACACACGCUACAAUGGUCUGUACAAUGGGUAGCCAAGCCGCGAGGCGGAGCCAAUCCUGAAAGCAGGCCUCAGUUCAGAUUGCAGUCUGCAACUCGACUGCAUGAAGCCGGAGUUGCUAGUAACCGCAGGUCAGCAAUACUGCGGUGAAUACGUUCCCGGGUCUU